rnacentral:misc_RNA from 1 species
ACUGUGUAGGGAACUGAGCAUUCGAUUAAUCCUUGAUUGUUGCAUUGGUUUAGAAUACGCAUAACCAAGUUUGUUUUGUUUUUCAUAUUGUUGAAAGCUGAUCUAUUAUGGCUAUUGAAAACACCAGGGAUCUCGGAGUGGUGAUGCAGAAAGCUCGAGCCGCCUUCGCAUCGGGAAAAACCCGCGAUGUAAGUUUUCGAGUUCGACAAUUGGAGAACCUUCUUCGCAUGUACGAAGAGAAUGAAGCGGAUUUGAUGAACGCCCUGUAUAAAGAUCUUCGCAAACCGAAACCUGAAGCGAAACUGAUGGAAAUAGAAGUUCUCAAGUCUGAUGUUCGAACCAUGAUUCAAAACUGCAAGGAAUGGUCGAAACCUCAGAGGGUCCCUAAAACUCUUGUUACCAUGAUGGACACUCCUGUUAUACUCCAAGAUCCAUACGGAGUUGUUUUAGUUAUCGGAUCUUGGAAUUAUCCUGUUCAGCUUUCGCUGAUUCCUGUUUCGGGAGCAAUUGCUGCUGGAAAUUGUGUCAUUAUUAAACCUUCAGAAAUUGCUCCUGCCUCGUCCAAAUUGCUUGAAGAGUUAAUUCCGCGUUAUUUGGAUUCAGAAUGUUUCCAAGUCGUAACUGGAGGGCCUUCUACCGUCCAAGAACUGCUGAAGCAGAAGUUUGAUUACAUUUUCUUCACGGGAUCAACCAACAUUGGCAAACUUGUCCGUGAAGCCGCCAACAAACACCUAACACCAGUUACCUUGGAACUCGGGGGCAAGAGCCCUGUGUACGUUGACGAAUCUGUUGACAUGACCAUCGCAGCACGCCGUAUCAUCUGGGGCAAAAUGGUGAACUGUGGGCAAACUUGUAUAGCGCCUGAUUACGUCCUGUGUAACAAAUCUACACGGGAUCGCUUGAUUGAUAAAAUCCGAGAAAUUUUGAUCGAGUGGUAUGGGGAGGACCCGCAAAGUUCCCCUGACCUAUGUCGAAUCGUCAAUGUUCGCCAUUUCCAGCGACUACAGGCAAUGCUAGGCGGCAGUAAGAUAGCAAUCGGAGGCAAAGUUGACGCUGAUGACCUAUGGAUCGAACCAACUGUUUUGAUCGAUGUAAAGCCCACCGAUCCCGUAAUGCAAGAAGAAAUAUUUGGGCCGAUUCUACCCAUAUUAGAAGUAGAAAGUGCCUAUGAUGCGAUUCAAUUCAUCAAUGCACGGGAGAAGCCGCUUAGCAUGUACAUCUUUUCUAAAAACAAGAAACUAAUUGAUCUUAUCUCGGGAAAUACUAGCUGUGGUUCGAUUUGUGUCAACGACACUCUGCUGCAGUUUUCAGUGGAAGAAUUGCCGUUUGGGGGUGUUGGUGCCAGCGGUAUCGGAGCGUACCAUGGGAAAUACAGCUUCGAUACCUUCACACACAAAAAAUCUUGCCUGAUUCGGAGUUUUGAUAAGAUGGGAGAGGCACUUGGAAAAGAUCGGUAUCCUCCCUAUACAGAUGAAAAAAUCCGUCGCUUGAUUUUUCUACUUAAGAAACGACAACUUCCCAGUUUUGGCUUUGUUCCUUACGUAGCCAGCUUUGCCUUAGGCGUGGCUUCAGUGAUCCUUCUACGCUACGUUGCCAAGCUAUGGUCAAGCUCCCAUCUCCACAAAAUGGUUCGCAAAAUCCAGCACUGAGACGGUAAUCACUAUUGCCACCCACUGCCUAUCCCAACUUGUCAUAUCAAUUCAGUCUAUACGCUACGGCAACUUUGUAACGUUUAAUCUCCAAUGCCGUCAUUACUACCUGUAGUCUAGUCAAUCUUUCCGUUGGUGAAUGCAGCUCCUUUGGUAAUUAAUCAAGGAAUUAGGUUACGAGGAGAAGCUGUCCGAAGUUAUGGGCUAAACCCAGCGGAUGUAAAUGGCUACCUUUAGAAUGCUACAAGACUGCAUGGCUCUUCCAUAUCCUCCUAUAUAAAAUUUGUACGAUUCCAUGGAGUCCUUUUGUCGGCAUAACUAGUUUUCGUUUAAUUGGGAAUACAAUACUUAACACAA